AUUGAACGCUGGCGGCAUGCUUUACACAUGCAAGUCGAACGGUAACAGGUCUUCGGAUGCUGACGAGUGGCGAACGGGUGAGUAAUACAUCGGAACGUGCCUAGUAGUGGGGGAUAACUACUCGAAAGAGUAGCUAAUACCGCAUGAGAUCUACGGAUGAAAGCAGUGGACCUUCGGGCCUUGUGCUACUAGAGCGGCUUAUGGCAGAUUCUGUAGUUGGUGGGGUAAAUGCUUACCAAGCCUGCGAUCUGUAGCUGGUCUGAGAGGACGACCAGCCACAGUGGGACUGAGACACGGCCCAGAAUCCUACGGGAGGCAGCAGUGGGGAAUUUUGGACAAUGGGCGAAAGCAUGAUCCAGCAAGGCCGCGUGCAGGAUGAAGGCCCUCGGGUUGUAAACUGCUUUUGUACGGAAAGAAAAGCCUGGGGCUAAUAUCCCCGGGUCAUGACGGUACCGUAAGAAUAAGCACCGGCUAACUACGUG
rnacentral:rRNA from 1 species